rnacentral:rRNA from 1 species
UACGUAGGUGGCAAGCGUUGUCCGGAAUUAUUGGGCGUAAAGCGCGCGCAGGUGGUUCCUUAAGUCUGAUGUGAAAAGCCCACGGGCUCAACCGUGGAGGGUCAUUGGAAACUGGGGGACUUGAGUGCAGAAGAGGAAAGUGGAAUUCCAAGUGUAGCGGUGAAAUGCGUAGAGAUUGGAGGAACACCAGUGGCGAAGGCGACUUCUGGUCUGUAACUGACAUUGAGGCGCGAAAGCGUGGGGAGCAAACAGGG